UUAACCCGGGACGCGGCCGCCGCGGCCAGGCGGCUGCCAUGGUGACGGGCCCGCCCCCUUCCCGCGCUGCUAUUGGCUGGACGAGCGUCAGCACCGUCCUCAGCACCUCCCCGUCCAUUUUAGGAGAAGCUGCUUGUUGGGCAAGGAACAUAAGUCUGUCAGUGAGAUCUAGGCAAGAAACAAACAUGAAAUCCAGCCAUCUUCUGGAAAUGCUGCAGCAUCAGUUGAAAAAACAGGAAGGAAGAGCCAAUGUUUUUCCAUUCUUAUCAUCACAAUUACUAUGUAUGUUUUAAGACUAUUUUUAAUGAAGCUCAUUUUUUACCACUGUA